CGGAAAUGGCUCAAUGGUAGAGCAUCGGCUUCCCAAGCCGAACGUUGCGGGUUCGAGUCCCGUUUUCCG
rnacentral:tRNA from 1 species